CGGACGGGUGAGUAAUGUAUGGGGAUCUGCCUGAUGGCGGGGGAUAACUACUGGAAACGGUAGCUAAUACCGCAUAAUGUCUACGGACCAAAGCGGGGGACCUUCGGGCCUCUUGCCAUCGGAUGUGCCCAGAUGGGAUUAGCUAGUAGGUGGGGUAACGGCUCACCUAGGCGACGAUCCCUAGCUGGUCUGAGAGGAUGACCAGCCACACUGGAACUGAGACACGGCCCAG
rnacentral:rRNA from 1 species